rnacentral:rRNA from 1 species
AAUGGGGAAACCCAGUGUGACUCGUCACACUAUCAUUAACUGAAUCCAUAGGUUAAUGAGGCGAACCGGGGGAACUGAAACAUCUAAGUACCCCGAGGAAAAGAAAUCAACCGAGAUUCCCCCAGUAGCGGCGAGCGAACGGGGAGGAGCCCAGAGCCUGAAUCAGCAUGUGUGUUAGUGGAAGCGUCUGGAAAGGCGCGCGAUACAGGGUGACAGCCCCGUACACAAAAGCGCAUGUGCUGUGAGCUCGAUGAGUAGGGCGGGACACGUGGUAUCCUGUCUGAAUAUGGGGGGACCAUCCUCCAAGGCUAAAUACUCCUGACUGACCGAUAGUGAACCAGUACCGUGAGGGAAAGGCGAAAAGAACCCCGGCGAGGGGAGUGAAAAAGAACCUGAAACCGUGUACGUACAAGCAGUGGGAGCACCCUUUGGGUGUGACUGCGUACCUUUUGUAUAAUGGGUCAGCGACUUAUAUUCUGUAGCAAGGUUAACCGAAUAGGGGAGC